AGAUUAACUUCAUUGCUACUUUAAAUAGACAUUACUUUCAAGGUUGCAUUGUCAACCAGCCAGUACAUUUGAAUGAACAAAAAAGUUUAAAGCGCGAAAACAAUAAAGCUCACAAAAUACAUUUGUCCGUGCUAAACGACGAGUAUAUUAUAGGAUUGUGAUUUCAUUGCUGUAUAACGUUAGCCUUUGUAUAAGUGUUAACGUUAGCUGCAGCCUCAGUGCAUUUCUCAUUCAGCAGCUGGUCAAUGACAUUCAGUUUCCAAGAACAGAAAGCUAACGUUAGCAGCCAUCUAACCUAGUUAGCUACCUACACAAUUUAGUUAGCGCUAAAUAUAUUUUAACACUGAUCAUUUUCACAGUAUUAGAAAUUAUCUUGAUGACUUAACGUCAGAAGGAUUCUGAUUGUACUUAAUGAGGAAAUCGGUUAUCUGAAGAAAAUGAAUGCAUAAAUAUUUUGCAGAGUACUUAAUCGUUUUUACGCUUAUUCGGUGCAUAAGUACUCAUGCAUUAAAGGCGUUCGAUGAAGGAAUAUUUCAUUUGGUCGAUAAUGUCCUUUCAGUUGCCACAAAUAUCUGCUCCUUGAAAACUACGGCUGCAGCGUGCAUGUUCUAUUUUCUGACGCUGUCCCUAAGACGUUAAACAAAGAACUGUGCUUCACGGGUGAGAGAAUGUGAAAUAUUCAGAGAAAACCAGAAAAGGAAAAUGUCGAAUACUACUCUGGUGGAGACACCUGUUGUGGUAUAAAAAGAUCCAGGGCUUAGUAAUCACUCUGCUGUAGUAGCAAUAAACGUUGAUUUGUCAUGUACCCAGGGAAUGAAGAGUCUGCCUUGGAUUAAUUCGUCCGGGACUAUAGCAACAAAUCAGGUUGAAAUUAAAGCUGUUUUAUUUCACUGUUCAGGUUAAGGGAGGCGAGGCAUACAUGUUACAGUACUCCUGAAUGUGUGGAAAGGUUUUCUUCAGUACAGGUUUCAUUUCCCCGUGGUCGUUGAAGAGCAGCCCUUAUUUUGGAGGUCAGGAGUGGGGGGAUUUCGGACUGUCUCUCCGAAUGAAUGAAGCGAAGGAGGAAGUGAAACUACACCUCGCGGUACGGGAGAGGGCACAGAAUAUAGAUAGCAGCGCAAUCUGCUGCGUCACUGCUGCCACACAAUGGCCCUCAGUGACAGAGGGGAGGCAUCCCAGGUGGCCGCAGCCAACCUUCCUGCGCUCCGGGAUUGGAAGAUGAUGCCUUUCUGCUGCUACCGUAGCCGCAAAUAACAUUACACAGCGACACAGGCCGGCUUUAGUCUGCGCAGCGCAUGUAAUUUCUCUGUAAUGUUGCGCGGUAGCCCCCUGUUUGGUCACUGCGUUGCAAAAUGUUUGCAAAACCAUAAUGAAUGAAUGAAUUGUUUAUGCUACUCAGUAGCUUCUGACCGUUCACUUCUUUUUUUUUUUAUUAAGUAGUGUAGGAUGUACACAUUGUAAUUGCAUUGCUCUGACUUGUAUUUGAAGUUAAGAGAAGUGAUUGUAAGAAAAUAAAUUAGUGGAUAUAUACGAUAUUGUCAUGAUGUAUCUAAAGCCAUUUCUCAUGUCUGCAAAGAAGUUAAGUUCAUUUAAAAAGGUUCAGUGACGGCGUUUAGCGUUUCGCGCUCUUUAUGGAUGCCCUCCCUUCGUGCGGCACAUUGCAGUGAUUUAUCAUAGCCGUGGGUGUGCGGCUCCUCUCCAGGAGUGGCUAAUUUGCAGUCGCUUGAUGGAUGGCUGGCAUUCGUGGUGAUUGGUCAAAGCCAAAAUAAUGUUCUUCUGCUGAGUGCCUCAGAAGAACGAGCCUCAUCUGCAGAGGGGGAAGUUUGAUGUGAUGUGCAGGCAUGGGGACAGAGCGGGGAUGGAGCUCCGAACUGGGCGCGUGCCUGCGCCCUGCGAUUUGUUCCCCUGCGGUCGCAUCAUGCCGUUUUGGCCGCAGACGCGAUGGCCAAAUUAGCAUCUUCAACCCCCCCCUCCCCUUAUGGAUGGUCGCUGCCUGUCCCCAUUCAUUCUGGUGCUUAUUAAGCGCGCAACCCCAUGUCUUGUUAGCUUCCUCUCGGUAAUCUGUUGGUUUAGAUGGCUCUCAGGCUUCAGUUGUUAGGCAUACUGGAAACGCUGGAGUUUGCGGUUAAAUUCCACUUGUAUUCUUCCACCAAGAAAAGGUAAAUGUCAAAGCAGGUGGUUGGCAUCUUCCUAGCUCUUUCAUGUUUCUAUAUUCUGACAUUAGUUUAGCUGAGAAUGUGGAGCUUCACAUUCUCUCAUUUCUCAUUCUGGGAUAUUGAACAAAUCAAAUAUCUGAGUGGAUACAAGUUGAGUUGACACAUGGCUUUUAUAUUUUUGGUGAGGAAGGUGUUAAAUAAUUCCUCUUUGUGCUCUGUAAUAUUUGCAUAGGCAGUUAAAGAAGCAAUUUCAUGUGUUGCCAAUUUAUCCCUUGCAGGCUCAUGAAUAUUUUAAUCUGAAUCCAGUCUUUCACCCUGGUAACAGAGAAGGACAGGUGUAUGUAAUUCGACCCCCAUGUCCUUUUCAGGUGGAUUCUGAAUUCUGUACCUUUGUGGCGUUAAGCAGCAAUUAAACCUUAUGUUUGACAGCAUUAUGUAGCCCAUUUAUUUUAGUGCCCUUAUGCCAUACCUGCCUGCCAUAAAACUGCUCUUUAAUUUCUGAAACAGAGAGCACUAUAAUCUAAAAUGUGACCGGUGUGUCAUCGAUUCAUUCUGCUUCUUCCUUCAAAGUGGAUAUCCUCCUCUCCAUUUGCAGCAUUACCUUACAUUUGUUUCUUUUUAAAUGUUUCAGGAAACCUAUUUCAGAUUGUGAAUUUCUACUUGAAUGUAAUUUGUAGAUCAAAUAAUUGGUCUGGUCUGGUACACAGUUGAUAAGAAAGAAGAAAAAAAACAUGAAUAAACAAUUUAUUAUUAUUAUGACACCACUUUGUUUGCUUACAAGUAUUGUUCACAGUUAAUUUGUAAUGAAGCCCUUUUCAAAGUUUUUGAUGGAGAGUGGACAGGCCCUUGGUAAGUUUCGCUUUAUUCAGACCGGGCGAAUACAGAGAGGGUAACGGAUAGAGAAGGGGUGACCACUCAGCAGGCACCAUGGUGGGGUGAACCCACGCCCGAGCGACUUCGGUGUCGAACCCCUGCCCGCCUGACUCCGGAGUUGACCCCCCGGCCACCCGCCCCCGGAGUCAAACCCCCACACGGACGACUCCGGACUGGACCCCCCCACCCGCCUGCACACCCACCCACACGCCCCCCCCCCCCCCACACACACAGCUCGAGGGUCAGCAGUCUGCUGACCUGCUUCACCCACUUCAGCUGUAAUUAAGGUUUACACAUUAGUAUGAGUUCAGUGGUACCUGGAGCCUGUUACUUAUUUAAUGAGCUAGUGGGCAUUUGUACAGUCUCUCCAUAUUCUGUGGAAAGGUUUUUUUCUUCUGUCCUUCGUUACUCCUUUCAGUGCCAUCUUUCUUUAAUAAAUAGAGACGUCACCAUUUUGCUCUGUUGACUUAGUGCCAGUCUUUAAUUAUCUUUUCAUUUUUCUCUGUUCAUCUCUGUAAAGCAAAUAUUUAACCAGCAGAGACACCGGUGGCCAGUAAGUGGGUUCUGUGAUACGGCUGUCUGCAGGUCAGCGAGUCAGAUGUGACUGAUGGUAGAUUGUAGUGCAAGAUUAUAGAUUAAUGCUUCUGGCUACGUUCCAUCUGGCCCUUCUAAAUUUGUUGCCGAAAUGAAUUCGAAAAGAGUCGGCUAAUGACAUGACAGAAGGAGUGGGAGGUUCGGCCUAAAUUGAGAUAUCGCUAACAUCCAAAACGACGGUUUGGCGAUCAGCUUAAUUAUAAGUUCAGUUUAUUGGCAUGUUUAUCUCACUACUAAACUAACAGGGAAGCCAUUGUUUCUCAUCUGUUGUACCUAUUUAAUAUUUGGAAAGGAUACUAUCUAUCUGCCGUACAACCCAAAAAUAAACAUAAUGUGAAACUACAAUUAUAGAGCCCUUCAAAGGAAGAUUUGUAUACAUGAUUAUACCAGUGUUUAUAAAGCAGUUUGUUUGUGGUUGGCUUAUGGUCUGUUAUGUGACAACAAUAGGCAAACUAGCCUAAAUGUACAUGAUUAGCUCAAGGGUACUUGGAAAAAAAGUAUGCUAUUUUUAGUCAGCUAGUUACAUGCAUGUUCCUCCAGUGACUGCAUCUUGUUAAAAUGUCAACAAAGGGCGUUUAUUUUUGUGCUGCGUCUUCCUGCUUUGCAGAAAACAGUGAACUAACGCCACAAAAGUCUGGAUCAGUUUUUUUCAGACUGGUGCUGGGGGCGCACCAUUUAUGCUAAUUGUCAUUGCAGCGGAGUUCUUCAUUGAUUUGGCCUGAUUGAGUGGUUAAUUGAAUACCAAUCUGUAUUAUACAACUUGUGCUGUGAGUUUUCUGUUACAGAAGGACUGUUGUUUGCUCUAACUGACAAAUACAAAUAAAGGGGCUUCUGUAAAAUGUUUCUCUUAAUUUGAACCCUUAAUACAGACCACCAUUCAUGUUUGAUUAAAAGCAAUUGAUUUGGUGUUUUGUGAGACUGAGAAAGCAAUUAAGCAACUGAUUAUAUGUAAAAGAGAUAGUUGCGCAUAUGAAAAAAAAUUGUUUGCGAAUCAUUAGUUUACAAAACAACCCAAGUGAUUUCCUAGCUAGCUAUGAGCAUAGCCUGCUCGUGAAACAAAAACCAUAUAUAUUUUCAUAUAUUAUAUAUACAAAGCUUGCAUUUUUAAAACAUUAUUUUAUGUAAUGGGGCUGGUCCAAUUAAUUGAUUUUUUUUUCCCUUUUUGUGAAACUUGACUUCUGUUUUGUUCUCCUGUGUUUACCAUCUGGCUGUGAUUUCAAAACAUGGUUUGUUUUCUCUCACUUGGUGAUUUUUGGACAACAGGGGCUACCAUCAUUGACCUGCCACAACGUCACUUGAUGCAUUUUUGUUCGGACACACUGUGUGAAAAUCUUGGUUGUUAUGGGUCUUAACUGUCACAGACAAGGCUUCUGGCCUGGAAGCAGCGUGACAUUAAGUUAGGCUGCUGGAAUUCCCGGCUGACACAAAAUGUUCUCAUAAUGUUGCCAAAAUGUUUAAUCAAUGUUAUAACAUUGUGAGAACGUUUUGUGUUAGCUGGAAAGGCUUUGCUCCGGUUUUACCCCAGAAUGCAGUCCUUUGUGUUUACAUUGUCACCACCACUAUUUACGUUAGCUGUUGUAAGUCCACGCAUAAACAAACACCUCACAUGGCUUUGUGCCAAUGCAUCUUUUGUUUGUGCGUUCUGUGGGGUAAAAAUAAGUCAUUUGCUUUCUUGAAAACACACCAGAAUGAGAGUAAACGUUUAGCUUGGUGUAUCUUUAGAGAAGGAAACAUCUCUGCUACCCAGCAAUGUGUUUGGCAGUAGAUCUGUUGUUGGGAAAACAAAGGAAACGAGAUACUAUAACAUUUCAAUUCACAUAUAUAAAUAAAUUGUCUGAAAAGAGA